ACGAACGCUGGCGGCGUGCCUAAUCCAUGCAAGUCGAGCGAAGUUUUUCUGGUGCUUGCACUAGAAAAACUUCGCGGCGAACGGGUGAGUAACACGUAAAGAACCUGCCUCAUAGACUGGGACAACUAUUGGAAACGAUAGCUAAUACCGGAUAACAGUAUUUCUCGCAUGAGAGAUAUUUAAAAGUUGGUUAUGCUAACACUAUGAGAUGGCUUUGCGGUGCAUUAGCUAGUUGGUGGGGUAAAGGCCCACCAAGGCGACGAUGCAUAGCCGACCUGAGAGGGUGAUCGGCCACACUGGGACUGAGACACGGCCCAGACUCCUACGGGAGGCAGCAGUAGGGAAUCUUCCGCAAUGGGCGAAAGCCUGACGGAGCAACGCCGCGUGAGUGAAGAAGGAUUUCGGUUCGUAAAGCUCUGUUGUUAGGGAAGAAUGGAUAUGUAGUAACUAUACAUGUAAGAGACGGUACCUAACCAGAAAGCCACGGCUAACUACGUG
rnacentral:rRNA from 1 species